GACGUAGGGCGCGAGCGUUGUCCGGAUUAUUGGCGUAAAGAGCUCGUAGGCGGCUUGUCGCGUCGACCGUGAAACUUGGGCUCAACCCAAGCCUGCGGUCGAUACGGCAGGCUCGAGUUCGGUAGGGAGACUGGAAUCCUGGUGUAGCGGUGAAUGACGCAGAUAUCAGGAGGAACACCGAUGGCGAAGGCAGGUCUCUG
rnacentral:rRNA from 1 species